rnacentral:rRNA from 1 species
CCCUUAGAUGUCCUGGGCCGCACGCGCGCUACACUGACAUGUUCAACAAGCCUCCUAGUUCGACAGGAUUUGGGAAAUCUUUGAACGCAUGUCGUGAUAGGGAUAGAUCAUUGCAAUUAUUGAUCUUGAACGAGGAAUUCCUAGUAAACGCGAGUCAUCAGCUCGCAUUGAUUACGUCCCUGCCCUUUGUACACACCGCCCGUCGCACCUACCGAUCGAAUGUUUCGGUGAAGAUUCCGGAUAGGACCUUUUUGAUUUAUUUCAAUUUUGUCUUAAAAGCUAUCUAAACCUCAACACUUAGAGGAAGGUGAAGUCGUAACA